rnacentral:rRNA from 1 species
UACGGAGGGUGCAAGCGUUAAUCGGAAUUACUGGGCGUAAAGCGCGCGUAGGCGGCUGCUUAAGCUAGAUGUGAAAGCCCAGGGCUCAACCUUGGAACUGCAUUUAGAACUGAGUGGCUAGAGUACAGCAGAGGAUAGUGGAAUUUCAGGUGUAGCGGUGAAAUGCGUAGAGAUCUGAAGGAACAUCAGUGGCGAAGGCGACUGUCUGGGGCUGAUACUGACGCUGAGGUGCGAAAGCGUGGGGGAUCAAACAGG